CCUACGGGUGGCUGCAGUGGGGAAUAUUGGACAAUGGGCGCAAGCCUGAUCCAGCAAUGCCGCGUGUGUGAAGAAGGCCUGCGGGUUGUAAAGCACUUUAAGCAGGAAAGAAGGGGUGAAAGUUAAUACCUUUCAUCAUUGACGUUACCUGCAGAAUAAGCACCGGCUAACUCCGUGCCAGCAGCCGCGGUAAUACGGAGGGUGCGAGCGUUAAUCGGAAUUACUGUACGCGGAUCGCGCGGUGGGUGUUGAAAGCCCUGGGCUUAACCUGGGAACUGCGGUGGAUACUGUCGGGCUAGAGUGUGGUAGAGGGGAGUGGAAUUUCCGGUGUAGCAGUGAAAUGCGUAGAGAUCGGAAGGAACACCAGUGGCGAAGGCGGCUCCCUGGACUAACACUGACGCUGAGGUGCGAAAGCGUGGGGAGCAAACAGGAUUAGAUACCCUAGUAGUC
rnacentral:rRNA from 1 species